GAACGCUAGCGACAGGCCUAACACAUGCAAGUCAGGGGCAGCACAAGGAGCAAUCUGAGGUGGCGACCGGCGCACGGGUGAGUAACACGUAUGCAACCUGCCUGUAAGCGGGGAAUAACCCGUUGAAAGACGGACUAAUACCGCAUAAUACUAAAUUACUGCAUGGUAAUUUAUUUAAACAUUUAUGGCUUACAGAUGGGCAUGCGCAUGAUUAGCUAGUUGGAGAGGUAACGGCUCCCCAAGGCAACGAUCAUUAGGGGUUCUGAGAGGAAGGUCCCCCACACUGGUACUGAGACACGGACCAGACUCCUACGGGAGGCAGCAGUGAGGAAUAUUGGUCAAUGGACGAGAGUCUGAGCCAGCCAAGUCGCGUGCAGGAAGAAUGUCCUUAAUGGAUUGUAAACUGCUUUUGCAGGGGAAUAAAGUGCAUCACGUGUGAUGUUUUGUAUGUACUCUGCGAAUAAGGAUCGGCUAACUCCGUGCCAGCCGCUGC
rnacentral:rRNA from 1 species